CCUACGGGGGGCAGCAGUGGGGAAUAUUGCACAAUGGGGGAAACCCUGAUGCAGCGACGCCGCGUGAGUGAGGAAGUAUUUCGGUAUGUAAAGCUCUAUCAGCAGGGAAGAAAAUGACGGUACCUGACUAAGAAGCCCCGGCUAACUACGUGCCAGCAGCCGCGGUAAUACGUAGGGGGCAAGCGUUAUCCGGAUUUACUGGGUGUAAAGGGAGCGUAGACGGUUAAUCAAGUCAGAAGUGAAAACCCAGGGCUCAACCUUGGGACUGCUUUUGAAACUGAGUAGCUAGAGUGCUGGAGAGGGAAGCGGAAUUCCUAGUGUAGCGGUGAAAUGCGUAGAUAUUAGGAGGAACACCAGUGGCGAAGGCGACUUACUGGACUGUAACGGACGUUGAGGCUCGAAAGCGUGGGGAGCAAACAGGAUUAGAUACCCCAGUAGC
rnacentral:rRNA from 1 species